ACUCCCACAGAUUUGCUGGCUGGCCUUAGAGCAAAUGGGGAUAGUGAGUUGGCUCAGGUUUUGCAUUAACUCGUCUGAUUUUUUCCACUGCAGCCUCCCAUUCUGUGAUAAAGCUAAGUUGCUAGGAAAGCUUUAUGUAACACUCACCCAGCAUCAGCUUCUCAGAGCAGCAAGUGUUGUUUCCAGAGUUCCCCAUAAACCUGGCAGCACAUCAAAACCUCUGUUUCAUAACAGACUAGAAAUAGGAUUUUCUAAUAACAUUCCGAGGACUGGACUAUCGCACAGGGAUCUGCACUUUUAUGAAUUGUUAAUGGUCAACUAAACAAAGACCCCCAGGACGCCCAACCUGCUAUCUCGGGUGAUACCUACACUUUACCCAGGAGUUUCAACAGAUCAAGGACCAUUGCCCAAUCGGCUGGGGAGUGACAUGAGAGAGGCACCCGCAAGGAACGAGUACAGGGAGCCCACUGAUGCGGGAGAGCUGCACAAAGUUCACUGCAAAGGGUGAAACCUGAAUUGUCUGCAGUACGCAUGGGUCUUUGGCAGACAGAUGAGGAGGCUGGACAUUUCCGCAGAAAGGACAACAUGCAGGUGUCUGCGUGACACCUGACGCAGCAGGACUUGUCAGGGGACUAGAAGUCUUUCACCGUGACCCUGAUUCAUUAGAGUCAGUCUUUAGUCAGCCUUGGAAGCGGAUGAAACUGGGCCUGCGCUUGGUGUGUGCGCAGUGUCUUGGAUGUGCCAUGGCCUGGCUUUGGGGCCGACUCCAAAGACUGGCUCUGUGUGGACUGGAUUUUGAGCUACGUGACGGCAUCUCACCCUUUGUCAAACACGGCUCUCUCACUCACUCUGCAGCUGAGCUGAGGCUGCUGGGUGAUGAUGAACCAAAUGCAACGUGCCAGGUUGCUUUUAAAAAACAAGUCUUUUAUGAUUCAUCUGAAAGGUAUUUCUUUGAUUCCGUUAAUCAAUCACUUAGCAGGUAUGUAUUCAAUGACUUUUCUGUGCAAGCCAUUGUGCUAUAGAAGUUAGCAAAAUUAAUAAAACAGAAGGAGGCACAGUAAACAAUUUUUAAUCAAAUGAGUGAAAAAUGAUGUAUAACAAAUGAACGUACACAUAGAAACACUCAGGCAUGUGAUAUUGGAAUUGGAGCUAUUCUGGGACAUCUUGGAGGUGACGUUGUCAUACAUACAAGAUGAGGGGUCCCUGAACUCCAGAGGGUACAUUUUACUUAGCUCCCCCAAGGUCUCAGUUAUAGCCGCAGCACCCCUGCUCCCGUUGACUGACUAGGACCUGUGGCAUCCUGCAGAGUCCUCCCCUCCCCCACUGCCCCUCCCAUAUGAUUCUGGGAGAUUCCAGCAGGUGGUUCACACGUGUUCACACACCGCUCUCCUGCGGCCCCUUGUUGAUGCUGCUUGUUGGUGAAACCUCCACCACUGGUCUUGCAUCUGGUGCCCUCCCAAUGACUGCUGUUGUAUGUGAAGAGAGGGGACCCUCCCAGGGCUCCUCAAACCUGCCUCUCGGAGGGGCCCAAUGGCCAUCCUUCCUUGAGGCACUGGCCUGCAGCGGUGCUAUGUCUGGCUUACACAUAGGAGGCUGUUCCUCAUCCCAGCUCCAUGGGUCACACUGGGCUGUGCCGCUUAUGCCUUCUAGAAAGCAGUUGCUUCCACCUCUGCCCGGACCCUCAGCUCAGGCCUGUCCUGGAACUGGACCUGUGGAGCCCUGCAUUUCCCUUGGCCCUGGACAAGACUCCCUGGGGCUGACUGUCACCAUCGCACAAAUCAUCUGAGGCCAGCAGGUGGCCAGGGUGGGGCUGGGCAGAGCAGGCUCCACGUCCCUGUGUAGGCCCAGCCUGACCCCAAAACCUGAAGGCAGUGGUGACUAGCAGGAUCUGUGUGCAGGUGGUUGGUAGUAAGAGCAGAACUGAAUCCUCCUGGACACUUACGCAACAGUUGCUCAGAGGAGGCCCUGGAGGCCUGAGGCUGGCAGAGAGGCUUUGCGGAGAAGGAAGCACUGGAG